CGUGAUCACUGUAACGCCCUGAGUGUUGCGGAUGUUUCGCAGAAGUUGACCGAACUUGAUUAUUUAGAGGAAGUAAAAGUCGUAACAAGGUUUCCGUAGGUGAACCUNNNNANNGNNAANNNANNUANUCCUUUCAAGUUAUAAACAAAAACACAAUAUAUAAAAUACUUAUAUUGUAAAAUUAUGGCAAAUGCCAAAAAGAAACAAAAUAACAAUAAUAAAAAUGUUUAUUAUUGUAUCGCCUCCUAGGCAAAAAAGUAUAGUAUAAAGUGUUUGUGUGUGUUACACAUUACACAAAAAUUGACUUAUUUAUAUAAAAUUUGUAAAAACNGAAAUUGUGUGGACGUUAUACAAAAUUAAUUUGUAUAGAAAAUGUCUAAAAAUUUGAAAUACAUAAAAUUAUAGUUGUACUUGUAUAAAAUUGAAAAGUAAUUUUUUAUAUAAGUCAAUCAUUGUUCGUUUUUUAAGAACUUGAGACAUUCGCAACAAAAAUUUUAUGUUUUAGUUAUAAAAGAGAAGAAUAAUAAGCAAAAAUUAUUGWAGGAAUUGAUAUAUGCCAAUUUGAAA
rnacentral:rRNA from 1 species